GAAAUUCGAGCAGAAGUGACGUCACCGGCAUACGACGCCAUUUGCUUACGACGCCAUUAGUGCUUCGAAGUGUUCAACAAGUAUCAUCGUAACUGAAAUUCGAGCAGAAGUGACGUCACCGGCAUACGACGCCAUUUGCUUAUACGACGCCAUUAGUGCUUCGAAGUAUUCAACAAGCAUCACAUUUUUAUGACCGCGCGCAAUGCGGUCUGUAGAAUCAGUGUUUGUUUCGUCGAGUAAUUCGUCAUUUUUUGAGGCAAAGUUGCUUCGAGUAGCGUUGCGUUUACAGUUCAGGUACACGUGAAGGUCGAGUCAGUGUCUAUUGCGUAUAUACAAAUUCUUUCCAGAGCAUCGUGGCUCUUUACUUUCUGAAUCGCGACCGUAUAGAGUCUCUUG